rnacentral:rRNA from 1 species
GAUGAACGCUGGCGGCAUGCCUUACACAUGCAAGUCGAACGGCAGCACGGGGCAACCUGGUGGCGGGUGGCGAACGGGUGAGUAAUGCAUCGGAACGUACCUUUCAGUGGGGGAUAACGUAGCGAAAGUUACGCUAAUACCGCAUAUUCUGUGAGCAGGAAAGCAGGGGAUCGCAAGACCUUGCGCUGAUUGAGCGGCCGAUGUCAGAUUAGCUAGUUGGUGAGGUAAAGGCUCACCAAGGCGACGAUCUGUAGCGGGUCUGAGAGGAUGAUCCGCCACACUGGAACUGAGACACGGUCCAGACUCCUACGGGAGGCAGCAGUGGGGAAUUUUGGACAAUGGGGGCAACCCUGAUCCAGCCAUGCCGCGUGAGUGAAGAAGGCCUUCGGGUUGUAAAGCUCUUUCGGCCGGGAAGAAAUCGCACGGGCUAAUACCCUGUGUGGAUGACGGUACCGGAAUAAGAAGCACCGGCUAACUACGUGCCAGCCGCCGCGGUAAUAC